rnacentral:rRNA from 1 species
AGGACGAACGCUGGCGGCGUGCUUAACACAUGCAAGUCGAGCGGAAAGGCCCUUCGGGGUACUCGAGCGGCGAACGGGUGAGUAACACGUGAGUAAUCUGCCCAUCGCUUCAGGAUAGCCAUCGGAAACGGUGAUUAAUACUGGAUAUGACAUUCCUUCGCAUGUUGGGGUGUGGAAAGUUUUUUCGGCGGUGGAUGUGCUCGCGGCCUAUCAGCUUGUUGGUGGGGUAAUGGCCGUACCAAGGCUUUGACGGGUAGCCGGCCUGAGAGGGUGACCGGCCACGACUGGGACUGAGACACGGCCCAGACUCCCGUACGGGAGGCAAGGCAGGUGGGGAAUAGUUGGACGAAUGGGGCGGAAGCCUGAUCCAGCAACGCCGACGUGAGGAUGACGGCCGUUCGGGUUAGUAAACC